UAGAAGCGGUUAGUGGCGGACUGGUGAGUAACGCGUAAGCAAUCUGCCUAUUAGAGGGGGAUAACAGUGAGAAAUCACUGCUAAUACCGCAUAAGCUGUGAAUAUUGCAUGAUAAAAACAGAAAAGGAGCAAUCCGCUAAUAGAUGAGCUUGCGUCUGAUUAGUUAGUUGGUGAGGUAACGGCCCACCAAGACGAUGAUCAGUAGCCGGACUGAGAGGUUAAACGGCCACAUUGGGACUGAGAUACGGCCCAGACUCCUACGGGAGGCAGCAGUCGGGAAUAUUGCGCAAUGGAGGAAACUCUGACGCAGUGACGCCGCGUGCAGGAAGAAGGUUUUCGGAUUGUAAACUGCUUUAGACAGGGAAGAAACAAAUGACGGUACCUGUAGAAUAAGCUCCGGCUAACUACGUGCCAGCAGCCGCGGUAAUACGUAGGGAGCAAGCGUUAUCCGGAUUUAUUGGGUGUAAAGGGUGCGUAGACGGGUAUACAAGUUAGUAGUGAAAUCCCUCGGCUUAACUGAGGAACUGCUACUAAAACUAUAUAUCUUGAGUACUGGAGGGGAAAGCGGAAUUCCUAGUGUAGCGGUGAAAUGCGUAGAUAUUAGGAAGAACACCGGUGGCGAAGGCGGCUUUCUGGACAGAAACUGACGUUGAGGCACGAAAGUGUGGGGAGCAAACAGGAUUAGAUACCCUGGUAGUCCACACCGUAAACGAUGGAUACUAGGUGUAGGUGGUGAUGAAUCAUCUGUGCCGUCGCAAACGCAAUAAGUAUCCCACCUGGGGAGUACGACCGCAAGGUUGAAACUC
rnacentral:rRNA from 1 species